rnacentral:rRNA from 1 species
GUUAAAAAGCUCGUAGUUGAACUUCUAAGGAUUGAAGUCGCCUUAUGGCUUGUAUUGAUAUCCUUAUCCGCUUUGGUUUAGCAAUACGCACUUUGUUGGGCGAUUGUGUAACCAGGCAAUUUACUUUGAAAAAAUUAGAGUGUUUCAAGCAGGCGAUUUGCUGGAAUACAUUAGCAUGGAAUAAUAGAACACGACCUCUUAGGCAUUUUAUUGGUAUAUGACUGGAGGUAAUGAUUAACAGGGACAGUUGGGGGCAUUAGUAUUGCAUUGUCAGAGGUGAAAUUCAUUGAUUAGUGCAAGACUAACUUAUGCGAAAGCAUUUGCCAAGGAUGUUUUCAUUAAUCAAGAACCGAAAGUUAGGGGAUCAAAGACGAUUAGAUACCGUCCUAGUCUUAACCAUAAACUAUACCGACUAGGGAUUAGUGAGGAGUAUCGUGCCUCAUUAGCACCUUAUGAGAAAUCNAAGUCUUUUGGGUUCCUGGGGGGAGUAUGGUCGCAA